rfam:[Oscillatoria] sp. PCC 6506, WGS project CACA01000000 data, contig: Contig278
GUCAGGAACUCAGGGCUCAAGCCACUGAGCUUGUAAGAAGUUGCAAGCUAUUCUGACCAGCCUAAGCCUUAAGUGGCUACGUUUUUUGAGUCACGACACCGGCGAAUGCGAAGCUAGUUUUCCGCUCUGUCAUCUGCAAUUAAACAGUUUUAAAGUCACUGAAACAGUGUUGCAGGUUUAACAAGCUCUUAAAACAUUGGCGAAGCUAACAUCAC